rnacentral:rRNA from 1 species
GACGAACGCUGGCGGCGUGCCUAAUACAUGCAAGUUGAGCGAUGAAGAUUGGUGCUUGCACCCAUUUGAAGAGCAGCGAACGGGUGAGUAACGCGUGGGGAAUCUGCCUUUGAGCGGGGGACAACAUUUGGAAACGAAUGCUAAUACCGCAUAACAACUUUAAACAUAAGUUUUAAGUUUGAAAGAUGCAAUUGCAUCACUCAAAGAUGAUCCCGCGUUGUAUUAGCUAGUUGGUGAGGUAAAGGCUCACCAAGGCGAUGAUACAUAGCCGACCUGAGAGGGUGAUCGGCCACAUUGGGACUGGGACACGGCCCAAACUCCUACGGGAGGCAGCAGUAGGGAAUCUUCGGCAAUGGACGAAAGUCUUACCGAGCAACGCCGCGUGAGUGAAGAAGGUUUUCGGAUCGUAAAACUCUGUUGGUAGAGAAGAACGUUGGUGAGAGUGGAAAGCUCAUCAAGUGACGGUAACUACCCAGAAAGGGACGGCUAACUACGUG